GGGGCUGUAGCUCAGUGGUAGAGCAUGUGGUUGGCACGCACAAGGACCGGGGUUCAGUCCCU
rnacentral:tRNA from 1 species